rnacentral:tRNA from 1 species
GCCCGGGUGGUGAAACCGGCAUACACGCAGCGUUCAGAACGCUGUGCUCGCAAGAGCUUGGGAGUUCGAAUCUCCCCCCGGGCACUA